rnacentral:rRNA from 1 species
GACAUAGGUGGCGAACGUUAUCCGGAUUUAUUGGGCGUAAAGGAUGCGUAGAUGGUGGAAUAAGUUAUUGGUCAAAGUCAAGCUCAACUUGGCGGAAGCUGGUAAUACUAUUCUACUUGAGGAUAGGAGAGGUUGGCGGAAUUCUGUGUGGAGCGGUGAAAUGCGUUGAUCUACAGAGGAACACCAAAAAAGGCGAAGGCAGCCAACUAGUCUAUUCCUGACAUUGAGGCAUGAAAGCGUGGGGAGCAAACCGG